rnacentral:rRNA from 1 species
CGGAAAAUAAAAAGUGGCCCACGAGGCGGUUCUGGCGUGCGGCCCACUAAAACGGUCUCGGAGGGUAUAUGAGAAGGGAGCAAAUCCGGCCGAGCCUGAAAGGGCGAGGGAAAACCGGACAAGCAACCUCUCGUACCUGAUCUUAAAGACUUCCAUUGCGUGUCCCUCUGUACAGCUUUGCAGGCUCCGGCCUCGGCAGCGGGGGGUUCAUAGUGGUCGUCGACCUCCACGAAACUGCUCGCCCCGGCGUGACAGCGUACUGGGGAUGCCUGUGUUUACGCAGUCCGGGCUUGCCUGGACCGCCAGCAGAUGGGCUCUGUGGAUGACUGGCCGCUGGCUAGACCUGAAACCUGAGCAACGGGAGGUAACCUCUCGCCGUGGACACCGGAAUGGUAGAAGCGGCGUGCUGCGUCCUCCUCUUGGGGCCCCUAAGCCACACCUCCCACAGCGGGUUCGGUGCGGCGGACGGACGCCCUGGGGAAUUUAGAGGGGGAAAGCGGAUUGCCCUAGCGGUGCUGUUGGCCCUGCCGACCUCACUGCGAAAGGCGCGACUUCACCGUCGCCACCCAG